CCUUUUUAAAAAUGUUUGCAGAUAUUUUUAAGUACAAUUGCUCUGUUAAACAAUAGGUUUGUUCUUCUUGCUUACACGAAAAGUGUAUAGUGUACACUUUUACUCCGUCCAAUUUUUGAGAGUGGGGGUAACGUCGUGUAAAUUCAGUGUAAAGUGUAAGCUUUUCAACGAGAACGCCGAAGUGUAACAUCAAGUGUUUAUAAAUACGACAGCUAUUUGUGCAUAGUGUUCAUAUUUAAAGUUUUAAUAAAAAAGUGGAAUUUUAUUGUUUAAAAUUUAUUAUUGGUUAUAUUGUUACAAUUAUCACAAAAUGAUGAAUGAAUUAAAUGUAGAAAUUCUUAAUCACAUUUUGGAGUCGGAGUCUGAAUCUGAUUUGUCAUCCGAUGAAGAGGAUUUUGACGAGAUUGUUCCUGAACCACCUGUUUUAUUUGCUGCAAAUAAUGAUGAAGACAUUGGACAAUUAUUAGAGCCAGUAUUAGGAGUUGUUUAAAGAGUACAUCACGUAAAAAUUUUAAAUUAUAUUGAAAAUGUUGUACAUUUAUACACUGAGAGUGAUUUCAUAAUGCACUUUCGCUUAUCACGAGAAGUGACCAAUGAAUUGAUCAAUCGUUUUGCAGCAUCUCAAAUUUUUUUGGCAUUACAAGCUUAUGCAGGCUACGAGCCUAUUUCUCCAGAGAAACAUAUCAUAAGUUUUCUUUGGUACGUUGGACAUGAAAGCAGUGGCUAUCGGGAUGUAGCAGAUAAAUUUGGGAUUACCAUAAGUGCGCUGUACAAUGUUAUAUCCCGGAUCACAAAUUUUUUAAUAUCUCUUGCACCAAAUGUCAUCAGAUUUCCUACAAUGCAA